UGCAUUUUAGUGAUAGCACAGACUGAGGCUGCAGAAGCAGACAGAGGGAUGGAGAGAAUCGAUGAGAGAGGUAGAAAUUAAGAGAGAGGAGGGGAGCAGUGCAUUGUCAGAGAGAGCACAACAGGAUUCCCAUGCAGACUGUCACAAAUGUGGACUUGAAGGAGCAGCAUCAGCAGCAGCAGCAAGGGUUAAAUAGAAGGGGAAAAAAAGGAGCAAACUUGUUCCAUUGACCACAGCAGGUAAAAAGACAUUUCCCCUGUAUGAAGAGGAGAAAAGAAGUCACCUGUAAUCAAACUAAGAGUCUGUCAGCAGCAGCAAGAUCACAGAAAGAAACAGACAAGCAUUUAAAGACUCUCGUCUCUGUUGGGGAAAGUGUGACUCCCUCUUUCCUUUUUCUCUCUCUCUCCUUGACUGUCUAUCCACAGGCUGUCCUUCCAUCUGUCUCAGCAGGAUGCCGAAGCAUCAUUUUGGUGUUUGGGACAAAGAGAAAAGCUGACAGAUCCUGGCGUGUUGUUAGAGAGAGGAGACAAAAAAAAAAAACGGAACAUUUGCAAAGCUUCUGGAAAGGAAAGGGGAGGCGAGAGAGAGAGAGAGAGAAAGAGAGAGAGAGAGAGAGAGAGCUGUAUGACUCAGAGCACAGCAGCUAGAAUACUGUGUAUUCUGCAUGCAAGAGAAGAGGUAGAGGGGGAUGGAGGAGCAAUGUGAGCGAUAUAGGGGGAAAAAUAGAGGAAGACUUGACCAGAAUUGAGCAGUCAUUAGACAAAGGAAGGACAGGAUGAGGGCAGAUUCAGCCACACUGGCAGGCGGUGAGUGAGAUAUAGGCCAAGUGAAUCAGCCUGCUACAGGGAAAGGAAGGCGAGAAGAGGGUCAGUUUAGAAAGUGGAGGGUUUGGUAUGACUGAAGCUGGUUGAGGGAAGGUUGAAUGAAGGUUUGCUGCAGGGCAGAAAGUGGACAUAGAGCUGCAAAGGACAGAAGGACGGACUUACUGAAAAACUACUUGAGCAGCCACAGGGGAGAAAGUCCUGAGUGACUGUGUCUCGCCACAGGGAGCGAACAUGACUGAGGUUUGCAUACAGGAGGACGAGCUUCAAGAAGGUUGAUCACAGGAAAGGAAGGAAAUGGUAUGGACGGUAGAGAGGUUAGAGAAAGAACAGACAACGCCAAGGAACAGGUGAUGGAGAUAAAGGGCAAAUCAGGCUAGGUAAGACAUGCUUGACAUCUAAGCAGAGAGCAAUAGUUAAAAAAGGCCAGUAAGAGCACAACCGGAAAACACUGCAGACCAGAGAAGUUGUUGCCCAAUGCACAAAGGCGGGAACAUGGAAACUUUAACCGUGACAGCAACACAGCAAGAGGUUUGUGUUAAAUAUUGAUGCCGACGGGCCACUCUCAAAAGAGCUCACUCCUUGCACCACAGAGACGGAAGCAGAAGGAAGAAACACAGUUGAUGUUUUUCUUCUUGUUUUUUUUUUUUUGGUUAUUCAGAGGGAUUUUUACACUGACGUUAAAAGUGUGUCAGAAGACAGCUGAGUGUGGUGAAGUUGAGAUGUUACUGCGCAUUAAGACAAGACCUACAAAUUAGCCAAGACUCAGUUUCCUGGAGGGCUUUUAUUUUUAUUUUUUGGCCAGCUGUGCAAUUUCUUGGGGAGUGUGGAGUGAUUGCAGAGAGAACGGGACCUCAGUCUUGUGUGGGAGCAGCAAAAGCAAAAAGGGAUUCAAUACUUGAGAGAUCACAUCAGGACUAGAACAAUUUCUUCUUCUCUACAAGAACAAGAUCCAGCCGUGGCUGAUGAAUAGAGAUUUAUAUUUUGGGACUGACUGCCACUGUGAGGUACAUCGCUGCCAGAUGAGAUAAGCCAAACGCUGCUGAAGCAUUCAUAGAUGUUUCCUCUCAUUAUUUUGUCCUGGACUGAUUGGAACUGUUCCAACUCUCUGAAAAUUUCCCCAUUACACAGAUUUGGCUGGUGGAGGUUCGCUGUCAUGGCUUGAGGAAAUCUAAGUGUAGAGACGCUUUGAUGUGCAUCAACACAAAAGGAUCCUUUAACUGGAGGCAGGAUGUAUACUUUGUUUUUGUCUCCAUGACUGAAUAAAGUCACGAUGGCUCUAAAUGUUGUCACGGCAUUAAGGUAGAGACUGCCUCCUCUCCUACCUGAAUCACAGAUUUCUCAAAACAUCACGACAAUAACGCAGGAGGACACAUCGCCACAUUCUCAAUCCAGCUGCGGAUAGACCAGCUGCGUGUGUGUGUGUGUAUAUUUGUGGCGGCGUGGGGGUGUAAGGACUGUCGAGGAGCUCAGCUGUGUUUGUGCGUUAUGCUUGUGUGAGUGUGCGGUGUGUAGAGGUGUGCUAGUGUGUGUGUGUGUGUGUGUGUGCGCCGAGCUCUGAAGCCAGCUGUGUCUGAGUAUAUUGUCAAAGCGUCGCCCGGAGCUGUGUGUGUGUGUAAGCGUGUGUUUGUGUGUGUGUGUGUUGCCUGGAUUCUCCCCACCAGCGAUAGAGCUGGACCUGAACAGCAGUGGUGAGAGGGGGGACAGGGAGGGGGAGGAGGAGGAAGAGGAGAGGGAGGUGAAAGAAACCAGUAGGACGGAGGAGAAGAAAAAACUGACAACAUGCUCGGAUAACAGGGAGAAAGAAAGGAGUCUUUGGCUGCCCCCCUGGUGCAAUGUGUGGCGUCGCGCCCUGUGGGGGUGGGGUUCUGUGAUGGUAACCAUGGUCCCCGGCAGCCGCUAUGUCUGCAGCGCUCAUGCAAGAGAGGACGACUCCACGAACGACCGCGAGGAGCGAAUUCUAGCCGUGCUGGGCAUCAUCGGAACCAUCCUCAAUCUUUUAGUGGUCAUAUUUGUCUACAUCUACACCUCCGUCACCUAAGGUGUUCUUCGGACAAGAGACGUUGGCAGUGUACCCAACCUUGCUCCACACAUGCCAACCCUCCUCUUUAAGUAUUUAUGCACCUGGAGGGUUUGAUUAUGCAGAGUAAGCGCUGAGAUGUGAGGAUCAUUGGCAGCCUGUUCAGCUGGAUGGUAGCCAUAUUUAUCCACACCUGCAUCCCUGCUUAUCCUUUAAGACAGCUCUGCUCCGCUGACUAAAGGCCGCUGCCCGUCACAGAACAGGAGCCACAGGUGGAAUCAUCUGCACUUUCAAACUGUACCUGCACAUUUUCCAAAACAAUAUUUCACACGUCCAUGUCAAAUGACUGCUGACAGUGUGUCCAGUCUGGUAAUGGUCAUAUGUGUGUGUAAUCAAUACUAAUGCAUGACUGUGGUGUUGCAUUCCUCUGACUGUUUCGACAGCUAGACCGAAGCUCUUAUGUGUCUUUCAUCUGAUGGUGCUCAUAUCUGACUGUGCUACAUCUGCCUUUAUGUCUCAUAACACCGUGUUUUUUUCUUUUCAGCUUUCUUUUUAUGAAUUUUAAGAUAAAGUCACUGCCAAAUAGUCUGACAAACACAGCACUUUGAGUUCACUUGACCAAAUUAGUUGAUAGGGAGGGAUGGUACACUGCUAAAACUAUAUUAGGGACCAAAAAUUCGCCAAGUGAAUUAUCAACAGAGGGACCCCAUAGGCCUAUUUGCUCCUCAGCACUGUUAAUUCUACUUGAACAGAGCGUCAGUGCAGAUGUACAGCUGAUCGCUCAUAACUAAAAAAUUUGUUUUCUGUAGUCAGUGGAGUCACUGAAAAAGUUUUACAUGGACCUGAUGAGUCCAUACCUGAGCACACCGGAGGAGAGAUUCCUGGCUGUGCUGGGAGUCAUCGGCAUCGCGCUCAACCUCCUGCUGCUUGUCUUCGUCUAUAUAUACACCUCCAUCUGAUGCGCGUGCCUGAACACAUUGUCAGCUAUGAGAUAACUUGCCGCACCUCCAGUAACUGCAGCUGUAGCCAACAGCCAGGGGCUUCCAGUGAUCAUCCUGUACAUUCUUCAACCACACAUGUAUAUAUUGUACCUAUAAGCACAGCCUGAUUCUUAGCUUAUUUGGGGAUUAUGUUAUUCUAGGCAGGUUUCUGUGCCUAACAAUACAAGUGAUAUUCUAAUAAUAGUGGGAACUUGAUGAAAAGAGGAUGAUGAGAGAAUUUAAAGGCAAAAGCAUUGAGCUUAAGAAAAGAAAAGGAGAUUUGUUUACAGACUGGUUUAUGAAAGAAACAUGCUUUACAAAAUUCACCUUCUUUUGUGGAAAAUUGUGUCCUGCAGUUAGUGUUUUUGUAGAUACAGUACUCGCUCACUUAUGUGCAUCAUGAAAUGUUUACUUAAGCUUGUAUGGCUAUAAUCAAAUACUUUUUAUCACGCUUUGACCAAAAUAACUGAUGUGAAGACUGUCGUCUUUGUAGUAAUUCUGUUUGUUCUACAUGCUCAUUGAUGUUGAAAGCACCUAGACAUGAAAGUACAUGGUUUUGAUGUCUCAGUCUGUGCAGCAGCUCUGCGCAUCAGCAAAGAUACCUCUGUGGACGGUUGGUACCACAGGAUAACGCUCUGUUUUCUGGUGUCAUGUUUCUGUGAUUGGAUCUGUGAGCAAGGCAGAUCCAAGCAGCGUCAGAGAGGGCAAAGCGUGGAACUGAGACAAUGUCACACAAAUCAAGACGGCGCACUUUUGCAGUGCAGCACAAAGGAGCGCAACAGUAACAGAGGAAUCAGGGAGAGCCAGUGUGGAUUGUCUGACAAAAGAGGACAUAAAACCUCUGUGCAAGGCCUCACCGUCUGUCUCGAAACUCAUGAAGGCACAAAAGUCUCCCUGGGAUUUGGUUACAACAUUUCCACUGGAGCUGCAUGUCACUAUGGAUAUGAUUUUAGGUUUAAGCGCUGUGUCUCUAAUGGAGGAGCAAACCUAAAUGUAGUUGACAAGCGAGCAGGAAGGACUGGCCUGAAUCUACACUUCAUCCUCGUCAUUCUCUUCUCCACCAACAAGCUAAAGCCAGAAAAGACAUAGUACUGAGAGGACCCACAUGAGUCCCUGCUGUCAUUUCACAUAGCACAAUACUUUUAUAUAUAUAUAUAAAUGCACCCAUACCUGUGAAAAGGACUUCAUUUCAUACACCAUCAGUCAAAGGUUCUGGGGAAAGACAUAACAAACAGGAACGCAGGAACAGUUUGUUUUCUAAAAUGAAUGGCCAGCACCUCUGACUGCUCACUUAACCUACUGCAAUUUUACAUGUUUGCUUGUGUGAAUAUGUACUGAGAUUUUGAUAAUCAUUGCAUAAUAAGAUUCCUUGUUACAUUGUGUAUAUAUGCUCUUAGUUUUAGUACCAGUUUAUCAUUGAGUGUUUUGUUUGCAAGCAAAUCUGAAAGUCACAGCCAGCACAUUGGAAAAUGUUUGGGAUGAAUUUGAAGAAAUAUCUAUGGUCCCACUGGCCACAGUCUAUUUUUAUUGAGUGGAAGCGAAGAAGGUGCAUGGCCAUAUCUACAGAAUGCUGGAUGGAUAACUGACCACAAUUUACCUCCCCAAAUUGAGUGAUGAAUCAAAAGGGUACAUAUUUAAAUUACUUGUAAUGCAUAAUUAACUUGCCUUAGGACUCACUCAUACAAACUCACACAUGUUCUUACUUCUGUACCUGAGAACCUUCGUUGAAAAAUUGCUUUUGCUCCCAACCAUAACCACCGCAUGCCUAAUCCAAAUCUUAGCAACUUUUUGGUUUUCAGUUAUGUUAACAUUAUUCUCUCCAACAUAAUUGCUGACAUCCAAGAAAAUGGUUAUAUCGCUAAAGAGAGGUCAGAAUAUAUAAGCGGUCAGACUAAUCUGGUGGUUAUCCCUGGGUCAAACUUAUUCGGGAGACAAAAUGUGGGUGAACGGUGAAAUUAUUCACCGAACUGUCUAUUUACAGACCCACUUCCUGCUUCAACUGGGACUUAAACCGGACUUGCUGCAGUUUUAUAGUUUUCCUGUGCAAUGAGAGAGUAAGCAAUAUUACAGUGGGCUCACUUUAAUUUUUACCUCCCAAAUAAAUUUAAUGAAAAAUAAUAUUUUGGCUAAACUGGAGGCUUUUUUACAAAUUGUACUAUUAUCCGACAGGUGUCUCCUGCCCCGUUCGACCUUCUUGUAGCAAUGUAGCUGUGUUCUGAGAUGCCAGCAAUUACAGUGUUAUCAUAACUGCUGGAACCAGUGCCCCGAGCUCUCAUGACAAAUACCCGAAAUGUGACAAGCCAUAUCAAACAGCUCUUUAAAGAACUGAAAGCCCAAAGUACCUCACUUUCCAAAAACGUCCGCAUAGACCUAAAACUCAAAUUGAUCCUCACAAUGAUAGAAAAACGAACGCGCACACACACACCGCACGCAUUCUAGCUUUAAAGAGUUUAAUUUUACACCAUCUUUCAGCAUACAUCAGGAGAGUCGACAGUUAGCAUGCUGAGAUCGAUGUGACUUGCACAUUUACUUCCUGUCACAUCUAAUAACUGCACAGUUGAGUUUGUUGAGCUAAAUCCACUUAAAGUGUGCACCACAGCACAGUAUGAGCCACCUUUGGUUCGCCAGACAUCUGCUGUCACACUGUGACAGUCAAAGCCACAGCUGUGGAGAACCACAUUUGAAGAUACUUAAUGUUUUUGGUCCACUUGAUGUUAGCAAACAAACUAAAUGAACAAGCAUUCUCAGCGUUUCAGCUCAGGUUUACUUAGAUACUGGCAAAGGCUUUCUGGUACCACUUUCUAAUAAGGCACCCUUUAGAAUGGGUUUAUAAUUUUGAACCAAUAGCUUUAUUAAGAGCACUCUGGGUUGCACAUUGCCUGGUAUUUAUUCCUUUUUAAUAAGGCAGUUCUAUAAAGGAUUUAUCAGUUGUAACUAAUGGUUUUAUCAAUGGUAAAUCAAUUCUUUACUGAUGCAAUAUGGCUGAUUAGAAAAUGAGAUAUCCAUGAGCAUUAAUUAAGUGAUUAUAUUUGCAUUCUUACCAAAUAGAAAAACAAAUAAAUACAUAAAUUCUAGCUAAAGGGAUUUAAAAACAAACUGCUAUUAAUAAGAAAAAAACAAUGUUCUCUUCUAAUUGAUUUACAAAGCAUUGGUGAAUUAUUUAUUAACCACUGCUAAAACAAUUAAGCAAUUAUUACUUAUAAACCCUUUUUAAAGGGUGCCUUAUGUGAAAAUGAUACCAGUUUGUGGGUUUUCAAAGGCCAAUGGUAAAUCUAAUAUUUUUAGACUGAAAUAACGGAAAGACAUUUAUUUUGUGCCAAUAUUAAAUAUUUUUUAAUCUUUUUAAAUGUUCAUGCCAAAAUAUUGAAAUGUAAAUAUAUAUUAACAACUAUGAGGCAAAGUGGCUCAUCUUAUACAACCAAUGGUCAGAUUAUAUAUUAAGUCUAAAUGAAAAAUACAUUUAAAAAAUAAAAUGAACAAAGAAAUAAAAUUUAAAAAACAAUGCUGAUUUAUAGACUUCAUAAUAGUUUUCUGUAGCCUUGGUCAGGGGGGGAACAUUCAUCAUGUCAGCAAUCAACAGUAUUGACUGAUAUUAGAUAAAAAUUCAAUAAUAAUUAUCUUAUUGUGUAUUCUGCAUGCAGUUCAGGUUUUUGGUUAAGACCACUUAACAUGACAGGCCCACUGCCACACAGACCAAUGAGAGGACAGAGCCUACAGGGUGAGUCCUGGCCAUCUGCUGUCCUCCUCACCACACACACACACACACACACACACACACACACACACACACACACACACGCACGCACGCACGCACGCACGCACGCACACACACAAACGCACGUGCACACACACAGCAUGGACUUUUCUUAACAAUGUAACUCAAAUGUCUCACACAGAAUCAAAAUGCACAGCUUGAGAUGGUUUAUUAUUUAUUUGAUGCCUGUUCAUGUGGGGUUUUUUUUUUUUUUUUUUUAAUAAUUCUCUUUGCACAAACAUUAUGUUAUGGAAACGGAGAAGAAACAGGUGCAUCAGAGUACACCUGGGAGCCCUAACCACUGCACCAGGCAUGGAUUAUUAACACAAAACACUGUAAGCAAGAGACCAAUGUUCAAAGACAGGCAAAUGUGCAUUCGGACACUGUGAGACAGAUUCCCACGUUUUUUAUGAUUCAUGAGCUGAAUUGAUUUUUAGCCUGAGAGGGCACAUUGGACACAGACUGUCAGUUUUCAUUUAACAGCCAGUUAUUUCCUGAGCAGACAGGACCAGUGAUCUAAGAAACUGCCAGGUGACAGAAAACCUCAGAAAUGAUCUAUUCACCAAGGUUUUGUGUGACAUGCUGAUUAUUUAGUGACUAACAUUCCAGGACAAUAGCUGUUACGGUACUGUAGAUUUGAAAUGGGAGAUGUCCAGAAGGACGACCCCAACUGAUAACGUUCGCUUCUAUGAGCAAAAGAUAAAGUUAUAUUGCCAUAGGAGAGAAACUUGGUCGUCUAGAAUCGUGUAAGAGAAUUAUGGCCAUUUCUGAUGAAGCUGAUGAAGAAUCAGUUUGGUACGAUCCCUGAGCGUAACCACUGAACAAAUGCUGUGAGAUCUGGUGUACUUUCAUGUAAUGUUUAUAUAUAAUGUAUAAUUAUAGUAAUGCCAAUAAAAAAGAAAAACACCACUUUCAAA